UUGGUCAUGAUGUUUCUCUAAAACACAGAACACUAAAGUUGGUCAUGAUGUUUCUCUAAAACACAGAACACUAAAGUUGGUCAUGAUGUUUCUCUAAAACAGUAAAGACUAAAGUUGGUCAUGAUGUUUCUCUAAAACAGUAAAGACUAAAGUUGGUCAUGAUGUUUCUCUAAAACAGUAAAGACUAAAGUUGGUCAUGAUGUUUCUCUAAAACAGUAAAGACUAAAGUUGGUCAUGAUGUUUCUCUAAAACAGUAAAGACUAAAGUUGGUCAUGAUGUUUCUCUAAAACAGUAAAGACUAAAGUUGGUCAUGAUGUUUCUCUAAAACAGUAAAGACUAAAGUUGGUCAUGAUGUUUCUCUAAAACAUUAGAGACUAAAGUUGGUCAUGAUGUUUCUCUGAAACAGAGAACACUAAAGUUGGUCAUGAUGUUUCUCUGAAACACAGAACACUAAAGUUGGUCAUGAUGUUUCUCUAAAACAGUAAAGACUAAAGUUGGUCAUGAUGUUUCUCUAAAACAUUAGAGACUAAAGUUGGUCAUGAUGUUUCUCUGAAACACAGAACACUAAAGUUGGUCAUGAUGUUUCUCUAAAACAGUAAAGAUUAUAAAGUUGGUCAUGAUGUUUCUCUAAAACACAGAACACUAAAGUUGGUCAUGAUGUUUCUCUAAAACACAGAACACUAAAGUUGGUCAUGAUGUUUCUCUAAAACACAGAACACUAAAGUUGGUCAUGAUGUUUCUCUAAAACACAGAACACUAAAGUUGGUCAUGAUGUUUCUCUAAAACAGUAAAGACUAAAGUUGGUCAUGAUGUUUCUCUAAAACACAGAACACUAAAGUUGGUCAUGAUGUUUCUCUAAAACACAGAACACUAAAGUUGGUCAUGAUGUUUCUCUAAAACACAGAACACUAAAGUUGGUCAUGAUGUUUCUCUAAAACACAGAACACUAAAGUUGGUCAUGAUGUUUCUCUAAAACACAGAACACUAAAGUUGGUCAUGAUGUUUCUCUAAAACAGUAAAGACUAAAGUUGGUCAUGAUGUUUCUCUAAAACACAGAACACUAAAGUUGGUCAUGAUGUUUCUCUGAAACACAGAACACUAAAGUUGGUCAUGAUGUUUCU